rnacentral:rRNA from 1 species
AUUGAACGCUGGCGGCAUGCCUAACACAUGCAAGUCGAACGGCAGCACAGCAGUAGCAAUACUGUGGGUGGCGAGUGGCGGACGGGUGAGGAAUACGUCGGAAUCUGCCCAGUCGUGGGGAGUAACUAGCCGAAAGGUUAGCUAAUACCGCAUACGACCGAGAGGUGAAAGCGGGGACCGGCAAGGCCUCGCGCGAUUGGAUGAGCCGACGUCGGAUUAGCUAGUUGGCGGGGUAAAGGCCCACCAAGGCGACGAUCCGUAGCUGGUCUGAGAGGAUGAUCAGCCACACUGGAACUGAGACACGGUCCAGACUCCUACGGGAGGCAGCAGUGGGGAAUAUUGGACAAUGGGCGCAAGCCUGAUCCAGCAAUGCCGCGUGUGUGAAG